rnacentral:antisense_RNA from 1 species
AUUUUAGAGACUGUCACUUGGAGGCCCUGAAUGCUCCUUCCAUUCCUCACAUGCAGGCUGCUCCAUGGUGCUGGAUGGAUUAGAGUUAAGGGGUCAGCAGGGAAUCGUGUUACUCUUUGGCAUCUGGCAUUUUAAACACCAUUCACCACGUCCAUUCUGCGCAGGGUCCUUCCCUUCUGGUGCGCCUUCAUCUUCCAUGGACAUUUUAUAAGCUGGGUGUGGUGUGAGUUCAGCUGUCUAUUCUUUGACAGAGAUUGUAAAAUCUGACCAAAUUCCCCACCACUGCCAAGGUUUAAGUCCACAAGCAACUGUUUGCACCAGAAGAUCAUUACUUUUUCAGUAGCAAACCCAUUCAAUGUUAGGAGUUACUUUCAAUUUUUAUUUAGAAAGCACCAAUCUGUGAAAAAUACACCAAUAGUAGUUGCUCCUCUUCAUUAAUUAGCAUCUUUUCCAAGCAACUGUUAAAUGUGAAAGAUCAGAUACAAAUCAUGCUACUUUGUCAACUUUAUGUAUAUUAAAAACUUUACCCAACUUUGAAAUAUAAUCAUCUUUGCUAAAUAAACAAAUUCCAUAUACUUUAUAUUAAUCAUGCCAAACUGCUGUGAAAGUGUGACUUACUGCCUCUUCCACAAAAAG